CUAUAACCAUCCUAAGGUAGCGAAAUUCCUUGUCGGGUAAGUUCCGACCUGCACGAAUGGCGUAACGACUUCCCCACUGUCUCGACCAGGAGCUCGGCGAAAUUGCAGUACGAGUAAAGAUGCUCGUUAAGCGCAGAAGGACGAAAAGACCCCGGGACCUUUACUAUACCUUGGUAUUGGCAUUCGGUGUGGAUUGUGUAGCAUAGGCGGGAGGCCGAGAGGCGCGGUCGCCAGAUCGCGCGGAGCCGUAAGGUGAAAUACCGCUCUGUUCGCAUUGGAUGUCUAACCUCGAACAGUCAUCCUGUUCAGGGACAGUGCCUGGCGGGUAGUUUAACUGGGGCGGUUGCCUCCCAAAGAGUAACGGAGGCGCCCAAAGGUCCGCUCAGCCCGGUUGGCAAUCGGGUGGCGAGUGCAAGUGCACAAGCGGGCUUGACUGCGAGGACGACGGUCCGAGCAGGGACGAAAGUCGGGACUAGUGAUCCGGUGCCGGUGUACGGACGCGGCAUCGCUCAACGGAUAAAAGGUACCCCGGGGAUAACAGGCUGAUCAUUCCCAAGAGUCCAUAUCGACGGGAUGGUUUGGCACCUCGAUGUCGGCUCGUCGCAUCCUGGGGCUGGAGCAGGUCCCAAGGGUUCGGCUGUUCGCCGAUUAAAGCGGCACGCGAGCUGGGUUCAGAACGUCGUGAGACAGUUUGGUCUCUAUCCUCUGCGCUCGUUGGAAUGCUGAGGAGGCCUGCCCAUAGUACGAGAGGACCUGGGUGGACGAACCUCUGGUAUGCCGGUUGUCACGCCAGUGGCACGGCCGGUUGGCUACGUUCGGAAGGGAUAACCGCUGAAAGCAUCUAAGCGGGAAGCCUGCUCCAAGAUAAGCAUUCCGUGGAACCUUCGAGUUCCUGUAGUCCCCAUGCAGAACACGUGGUCGAUAGGCCGGACGUGGAAGCCCCGCGAGGGGUGGAGCCGACCGGUACUAACGGACGAAAGGCA
rnacentral:rRNA from 1 species